rnacentral:other from 1 species
UUCCUAGGGUGUUUGCCAGUGGUCAAGUCCUUGAGCCGUUAGAAAAACCUAAGGAAGGUUCGAUGUUAAUUUCAGUGUGCAAACCCAACUUGAUGGGUAGCCUUAGGAGUUAACCUGCCUUCCGCCUUGAACCAGAACGGUUCAGGGCAAACCAGCAGCGGCACCUCUGGGA